AACUUCUUAUAUAAAUAUUAAGCUACCCAAUACAAUAAGAGCAGAUCUAGUACAGAAUCUUAAGAAUUUCUGAUAGCACAUGGAAGGUGUCAUCUUCUAAGGAAUGCAGCAAGUUUUCAGAGUAAUUGCUGAAGAACUCUAUCAGAUAGACAUUUUAUAUUCCCUCUAAUUGAAACUUGUGUUAUUAAGUUACAUUUUAAAAAAUGCUGAUUUUUCUCCUAGAUGAGAAUUGGUAUAAAGCAACCAGAAUGAAGAACAAGACUGUCAAGGACAAAGUCAAACUGGGCCAGAGAAUCAGAAAUUGUUUUCCAGUACAGAGUCCACACUGGUUUCAUAUGUGAUGAGGAGACAAGCAAACAGUGGAGAACAGCAGUAGAUACGACGCCGAUAAGCAAGAAAGAAAAAUUAAGGACAAAAAGACGGAGCUGUUUCUAAAAAAUCAGGUAAGGGAUUCAGGUGAUUCUCUAUAAAGUGUAACAUGUACAGUACAAAGAAUUGUGCCAAAUAGUUUAUCCUCCCUUCCUAGUAUUU
rnacentral:lncRNA from 1 species